rnacentral:rRNA from 1 species
GACGAACGCUGGCGGCGUGCCUAAUACAUGCAAGUCGAACGCACAGUUUAUACCGUAGCUUGCUACACCAUAGACUGUGAGUUGCGAACGGGUGAGUAACGCGUAGGUAACCUGCCUGGUAGCGGGGGAUAACUAUUGGAAACGAUAGCUAAUACCGCAUAAUAUUAAUUAUUGCAUGAUAAUUAAUUGAAAGGUGCAAUUGCACCACUACCAGAUGGACCUGCGUUGUAUUAGCUAGUAGGUGAGGUAACGGCUCACCUAGGCGACGAUACAUAGCCGACCUGGGAGGGUGAUCGGCCACACUGGGACUGAGACACGGCCCAGACUCCUACGGGAGGCAGCAGUAGGGAAUCUUCGGCAAUGGACGAAAGUCUGACCGAGCAACGCCGCGGGAGUGAAGAAGGUUUUCGGAUCGUAAAGCUCUGUUGUAAGAGAAGAACGGGUGUGAGAGUGGAAAGUUCACACUGUGACGGUAUCUUACCAGAAAGGGACGGCUAACUACGUG